rnacentral:rRNA from 1 species
CCUGAACGCUGGCGGCGUGGCUAAGACAUGCAAGUCGAACGGACGUAGCAAUACGUCAGUGGCGGACGGGUGAGUAAUGUAUCGCUAAUGUACCCUGGAGUUUGGGAGUAGCCUGACCGAAAGGGUCAGGUAAUACCGGAUGACAUCCCCUUGUCGCAUGGCGAGGGUCUCAAAGGAGCAAUCCGCUCGUGGGAGCAGGCGAUAUCGUAUCAGGUAGUUGGNGAGGUAACGGCUCACCAAGCCGACGACGCGUAGCUGGUCUGAGAGGACGGCCAGCCACAUCGGGACGUGAGACACUGCCC